UCAGAGGGAUGUAUUACUAUCGAGCACUUAAGAAGUUGGCCUUUCUUGAUGCUGCAUCGGAGGUGGAAAUUCGGG
rnacentral:snoRNA from 1 species